rnacentral:rRNA from 1 species
UACGAAGGGGCUAGCGUUGCUCGGAAUCACUGGGCGUAAAGGGUGCGUAGGCGGGUUUUUAAGUCAGGGGUGAAAUCCUGGAGCUCAACUCCAGAACUGCCUUUGAUACUGAAGAUCUUGAGUUCGGGAGAGGUGAGUGGAACUGCGAGCGUAGAGGUGAAAUUCGUAGAUAUUCGCAAGAACACCAGUGGCGAAGGCGGCUCACUGGCCCGGUACUGACGCUGAGGUGCGAAAGCGUGGGGAUCAAACAGGG